rnacentral:tRNA from 1 species
GGUCCCAUAGCUCAACUGGAUAGAGUAACGGAUUUCUACUCCGUGGGUUGCAGGUUCGAGAUCCUGCUGGGAUCGCCA